AGUGAACGCUGGCGGUAGGCCUAACACAUGCAAGUCGAACGGCAGCACAGUAAGAGCUUGCUCUUACGGGUGGCGAGUGGCGGACGGGUGACGAAUACAUCGGAAUCUACUUUUUCGUGGGGGAUAACGUAGGGAAACUUACGCUAAUACCGCAUACGACCUACGGGUGAAAGCAGGGGAUCUUCGCACCUUGCGCGAUUGAAUGAGCCGAUGUCGGAUUAGCUAGUUGGCGGGGUAAAGGCCCACCAAGGCGACGAUCCGUAGCUGGUCUGAGAGGAUGAUCAGCCACACUGGAACUGAGACACGGUCCAGACUCCUACGGGAGGCAGCAGUGGGGAAUCUUGGACAAUGGGCGCAAGCCUGAUCCAGCAAUACCGCGUGGGUGAAGAAGGCCUUCGGGUUGUAAAGCCCUUUUGUUGGGAAAGAAAAGCAGCAGGUUAAUCCCCCGCUGUUCUGACGGUACCCAAAGAAUAAGCCCCGGCUAACUUCGUG
rnacentral:rRNA from 1 species